UCUACGGGUGGCAGCAGUGAGGAAUAUUGGUCAAUGGCCGGAAGGCUGAACCAGCCAUGCCGCGUGAAGGUCAGUGCCCUAUGGGCGUUAAACUUCUUUUGUGCGGGAGCAAUAAUGGUCACGUGUGGCCAGACGAGAGUACCGUACGAAUAAGCAUCGGCUAACUCCGUGCCAGCAGCCGCGGUAAUACGGGGGAUGCAAGCGUUAUCCGGAUUUAUUGGGGUUAAAGGGUGCGUAGGCUGUGAGGUAAGUCAGCGGUGAAAUGCCCCCGCUCAACGGGGUGAAGUGCCAUUGAUACUGCCUGGCUGGAAUGCGGAUGCGGUGGGAGGAAUGUGUGGGGUAGCGGUGAAAUGCAUAGAUAUCACACAGAACACCGAUUGCGAAGGCAUCUCACGAAUCCGCGAUUGACGCUGAUGCACGAAAGCGUGGGUAUCAAACAGGAUUAGAUACCCCGGUAGUC
rnacentral:rRNA from 1 species